AUUUUGAAUAUCUCAGCAACCAAAGGGUAUACAGCUAUGAAACUUCACACACUAGUAGCUGAUAACAAUAAAAAACAGUGGCUUAAAGGAUUUUAUCAAGGUGAUGAAUUCCAUGGGUUGGUAGAAACUUAGAAUGGUACCACCAGUCACCAACACCCCCUAGACCAGAGCAAACUAUCGAGUCGUGUGGACAGAAGCUGCAGUUUCCAGCGUAGCACUGUAUAGUAGCUGCUCUUAUUGCCGAUCCAGCUGUCGUGGUCGAAGUUCGGGUUUCUUUGGGCAGCCCCUAUCCAGCUGGUCUUCAUUUACAGCUGAACUACAUCCAGGAUCGGUUGCAGCCUUAGAAGGAAGAAGGACUAUAUUCCUGUGCGGAUGGAUUAAAAAACUACUCCAGACUGGUAGACAUGACAGAUGUGUAUUGGAAAUAUAAACAUGGACUUAAAACUUUGGUGUGUAGCAAAAAAGUUCAUCGUUGAUGAUAGUGAUUUUCUAAGCUAUAUUGACUGGAACAGGGUCAUUCUUCAGAAGUACAGGACUGUCAAUGCUGCAAUUUUGUUGUGAAAGUCACAAUCCAUGUCAGAAGUUGCUUGUUUUACUAUACAGCAAAGAAGAAGAAAUUGUACUGGGCCGACAC
rnacentral:lncRNA from 1 species